rnacentral:lncRNA from 1 species
UAUUACUGAAGCAUACAUUAAGAUGUAAAGGCCUCCAAUUCAUAAAUUCCUCCCCCUAUUUUUCAGAACGCAUCAAAGCAUUUAUGAAGAACUGGAAUGUAACACUUGCACAUUUAGUUGUGGCUGGAGUACUGAAUUCAGUGGCUUUUGGAUAUUUGCUACCUCAUGAAAACAUAAUCCAGAUGGCUGUCCUUUUUGGCCUUUAUCCCAUUCACCUUUUCCUCCAAUUCACAGACUUAUACAUUAUAACAUUAAUAGGAAUGAUUGGCAGCAACAUACUUUUUCACCUUCAAGAAUAUUUCUCUCAGCACGACCACUCAGGAUAUGCCCUUUGGACAAUAUUUCUUCCUAUUGCAUACCCUUUGUACAUACUGGUACAUUUAUAUUGCAUUAGUGAAAUAUAUGGAAACACACCAGAUCACACUGAAUUUAUAUUCGGGAAUGCCUUUCUUCUCAUUUUGACUGCUAUUUCUGGCUUUCAGCAUCCGACUAAGCUGCCUGAUAAGCCCCAUAUCAUUCUGUAUAUGUUUGGAGCAGCAGGUUUACCUUCAGUAAACUCACUUGCACUGGCAACAUGUGUAUUGAAAACAAAGGAGGGAGAAGACGAUGUGAAGGAUGUGCUAAAGGAUGUGAAUGUGAUCAGCCUGAUUUCUGAAAGUAUCUUCCUCACUGGGUGGCUUGCUUUACUGAUUUAUGAAUACUGCUGUGGAUGUGGCUGAGGCUCAUGAGAUGGAGACUUUGUCUGGUUUCACAAAUCCCCCGGAGGUUAAUGUGGCUGAGUCAACCAAAGGAAUCUGAAAAAAAAAUAAACACAUGUUGGACAAAGGACCUGUAUUCA